UGGGUGUCUUUCUUCUUUGAUCUACAUAUUCUUGUAUGUACCUUCCCAGCAGGCCUAUGGUUCUGCAUCAAAAAUAUCAACGAUGAAAGAGUAUUCGUUGCUCUGUAUGCAAUCAGUGCUGUCUACUUUGCUGGAGUGAUGGUGCGGCUGAUGUUGACUUUGACUCCAGUCGUCUGUAUGCUGUCUGCAAUUGCCUUCUCAAAUGUUUUUGAGCACUAUUUGGGGGAUGACAUGAAAA